rnacentral:rRNA from 1 species
CCAGACUCCUACGGGAGGCAGCAGUAGGGAAUCUUCCGCAAUGGGCGAAAGCCUGACGGAGCAACGCCGCGUGAGUGAAGAAGGAUUUCGGUUCGUAAAGCUCUGUUGUUAGGGAAGAAUGAUUGUGUAGUAACUAUACACAGUAGAGACGGUACCUAACCAGAAAGCCACGGCUAACUACGUGCCAGCAGCCGCGGUAAUACGUAGGUGGCAAGCGUUGUCCGGAAUUAUUGGGCGUAAAGCGCGCGCAGGUGGUUUAAUAAGUCUGAUGUGAAAGCCCACGGCUCAACCGUGGAGGGUCAUUGGAAACUGUUAAACUUGAGUGCAGGAGAGAAAAGUGGAAUUCCUAGUGUAGCGGUGAAAUGCGUAGAGAUUAGGAGGAACACCAGUGGCGAAGGCGGCUUUUUGGCCUGUAACUGACACUGAGGCGCGAAAGCGUGGGGAGCAAACAGGAUUAGAUACCCUGGUAGUCCACGCCGUAAACGAUGAGUGCUAAGUGUUGGUCUCAUAAGAGAUCAGUGCUGCAGCUAACGCAUUAAGCACUCCGCCUGGGGAGUACGACCGCAAGGUUGAAACUC